rnacentral:lncRNA from 1 species
AAGGGAUCAAGCCACACAUAGUUCUUCCUUGAAACCCAAUUCCACACAUAGGCAAUACCUUAUUUCAUUUCUCUGUAUUUCACAUAAUCUCCGAAUACGCCGGCACAACUAACGCCACUUAUGGGGCUUGUCAACACCCUGGAUAACCUAUGCCACGUGCGACCAUACCAUACUAUCACAACAUCUCCACAUACGCCGGUACAACCAACGCCACGUAUGGGGCCUGUCUCAACGCCG